AACGAACGCUGGCGGCAUGCCUAACACAUGCAAGUCGAACGAGACCUUCGGGUCUAGUGGCGCACGGGUGCGUAACGCGUGGGAACCUGCCCUUAGGUUCGGAAUAACUCCCCGAAAGGGGUGCUAAUACCGGAUAAUGUCUUCGGACCAAAGAUUUAUCGCCGUUGGUUGGGCCCGCGUUGGAUUAGCUAGUUGGUAGGGUAAAAGCCUACCAAGGCGACGAUCCAUAGCUGGUCUGAGAGGAUGACCAGCCACGCGGGGACUGGGACACGGCCCAGACUCCUACGGGAGGCAGCAGUGGGGAAUAUUGGAAAAUGGGCGAAAGCCUGAUCCAGCAAUGCCGCGUGAGUGAUGAAGGCCUUAGGGUUGUAAAGCUCUUUUACCCGGGAUGAUAAUGACAGUACCGGGAGAAUAAGCUCCGGCUAACUCCGUG
rnacentral:rRNA from 1 species